UAGGGAAUCUUCCACAAUGGGCGCAAGUCUGAUGGAGCAACGCCGCGUGAGUGAAGAAGGUCUUCGGAUCGUAAAACUCUGUUGUUAGAGAAGAACACGAGUGAGAGUAACUGUUCUUGUAUUGACGGUAUCUAACCAGAAAGCCACGGCUAACUACGUGCCAG
rnacentral:rRNA from 1 species